rnacentral:rRNA from 1 species
UACGUAGGGGGCUAGCGUUGUCCGGAAUCAUUGGGCGUAAAGCGCGUGUAGGCGGUCCGGUAAGUCCGCUGUGAAAGUCGGGGGCUCAACCCUCGAAUGCCGGUGGAUACUGUCGGGCUAGAGUGCGGAAGAGGCGAGUGGAAUUCCUGGUGUAGCGGUGAAAUGCGUAGAGAUCGGGAGGAACACCCGUGGCGAAGGCGGCCACCUGGGCCGACCCUGACGCUGAGGCGCGAAGGCGUGGGGAGCGAACGGG